rnacentral:rRNA from 1 species
UGGGGAAUAUUGCACAAUGGGCGCAAGCCUGAUGCAGCCAUGCCGCGUGUGUGAAGAAGGCCUUCGGGUUGUAAAGCACUUUCAGCGAGGAGGAAGGUGGUGAGCUUAAUACGCUCAUCAAUUGACGUUACUCGCAGAAGAAGCACCGGCUAACUCCGUGCCAGCAGCCGCGGUAAUACGGAGGGUGCAAGCGUUAAUCGGAAUUACUGGGCGUAAAGCGCACGCAGGCGGUUUGUUAAGUCAGAUGUGAAAUCCCCGGGCUCAACCUGGGAACUGCAUUUGAAACUGGCAAGCUAGAGUCUCGUAGAGGGGGGUAGAAUUCCAGGUGUAGCGGUGAAAUGCGUAGAGAUCUGGAGGAAUACCGGUGGCGAAGGCGGCCCCCUGGACGAAGACUGACGCUCAGGUGCGAAAAGCGUGGGGAGCAAAACAGGAUUAGAUACCCUGGUAGUCCACGCUGUAAAACGAUGUCGAUUUUGGAGGUUGUGCCCUUGAGGCGUGGCUUCCGGAGCUAACGCGUUAAAUCGACCGCCUGGGGAGUACGGUCGCAAGAUUAAAACUUAAAGGAAUUGACGGGGUCAUAGCUG